ACGAACGCUGGCGGCGUGCUUAACACAUGCACGUCGAACGGAAAGGCCCUGCUUGCAGGGUACUCGAGUGGCGAACGGGUGAGUAACACGUGAGUGAUCUGCCCUGCACUUCGGGAUAAGCCUGGGAAACUGGGUCUAAUACCGGAUAGGAGCCAUUUUUAGUGUGAUGGUUGGAAAGUUUUUUCGGUGUAGGAUGAGCUCGCGGCCUAUCAGCUUGUUGGUGGGGUAAUGGCCUACCAAGGCGGCGACGGGUAGCCGGCCUGAGAGGGUGGACGGCCACAUUGGGACUGAGAUACGGCCCAGACUCCUACGGGAGGCAGCAGUGGGGAAUAUUGCACAAUGGGCGCAAGCCUGAUGCAGCGACGCCGCGUGGGGGAUGACGGCCUUCGGGUUGUAAACUCCUUUCGCUAGGGACGAAGCUUUUUGUGACGGUACCUAGAUAAGAAGCACCGGCUAACUACGUG
rnacentral:rRNA from 1 species